GAUGAACGCUAGCGGCAGGCUUAAUACAUGCAAGUCGAACGGGAUUCAGUGUAGCAAUACAUUGAUGAGAGUGGCGCACGGGUGCGUAACGCGUAUGCAACCUACCUUUAACAGGUGAAUAGCCCCGAGAAAUCGGGAUUAAUACACCGUAACAUUGCGAGAUGGCAUCAUCAUGCAAUUAAAGAUUUAUCGGUUAAAGAUGGGCAUGCGUGACAUUAGCUAGUUGGUGAGGUAACGGCUCACCAAGGCAACGAUGUCUAGGGGUCCUGAGAGGGUUAUCCCCCA
rnacentral:rRNA from 1 species